CCCUCACUCCAGAGCAGUUGCUCUUCUUAUCAGUUUCUUCGGCCUCAUCGUGUCUAAGAGCAGUUCCAGUAGCAGUUCCUUUCAGUUUGCCCCCCACUUCCUUCAAACCCAAUUAUCAUAGGCCUUUCUUCUUACAAUGUGAAAAACAGAAAGAGGAGCAGAAAAAUAGAGAACCACGGCUGGGAACAACCACAACGCUCCUUGCCAGCUUCACCAAUUUCCCAGGUUUUCCCCGCUUAAUUUGAUGCAUGCCUUCUUUUUAUCCCUCUUUUACUGUUGUUUUGGUUUCCUCAGAAAAUUUCUCAUUUAAUUGGGUUACUUCCCAGCAUCUCCAAGAAUUAAACACCUAUGAUUUCAACUGAAAGUUUUAGAAGGUGGUAAGCCUAACAGAUCUUUCUUUCUUAUUUGUAUUAUAUUCUUUCUUUGAUUGGGUUUUGAGAUCUUUCACGUUCAGAGAAGGUUUUAGAGGAAAGGUGUUUGUUGAUGAUUUUCCGUAUUUCUCUAUCGUGUAUGUUGAACGGUUCUCAUGGCUUUUGUGUUCAUAUCAGACCCAUGUCCAAAUGAAACGGUAAAUUACAGUGGGUAAGAGAGUUUUGAGAAACUUACUCCUUUUGCUGCAUGCUCACCAUUUAUCGGAUUGAUUUUUAUUUGCUAUAUGAAAUGGUAGGUAUGAAAUUUAAGAUAUGAAUGAAAGUUUGGUUAUUCAACUUAUAUUUGGAUUCUUGAUUAUUCAAGAACAGUUGCUGCAACUCCAAGAAUAGGGUAGGUGUUUACUCGCAUGGUUAAUUCGCAGGGUAGGUGUUUGAUAAAAUGUAUUUGGUUUUGUUCUACGAAUUCAAAUGACAUGGUGGAGUUUUUUUUUUUCUUCACUCUUUUGCAGAGAAUACUUUGAAGAGAAAACAGAGAGAUGUUGCAACAAGUCUCAUAUUUGUUCCUUGGUCGUUCAUUUUAUGAAAUGUUGGUAGCUGAGAACAUCUCUUUUGGCCAUGACUGUGAUAUGAAACCCAAGCCAGGAAGGUGAACGGGGUGAAAGGGUUCUAAGACGAGGAGGACCGCAUGUAUACAGAUUAUGCUAUGAUUUUUUUCCUUCUAUCUUUUUUUUCUCCUGGGAUUCCUUUGGUAGAAGAAUUAAAAGCAAAAUGAGGAUGAUAGAGAUGGAGGGAGUUCAAGGGGAGGAAAACUGCUAAAGGACUUACUGGCUGUGGCUGUGUUUCUUCUCUUUUUAGAGGUUUUCAAGGGGGGUUCAACUUCCCAAAGUGCAGGAGGCUUGCAGAGGAAUUGAAUCAUAUGUUUGGGUUUGGGGUACAAAAUCGUGAUGUCUAACUAAUUCACCAAUCCUCUCAGGGGAUUCAUUUGCUACAGGAAUUAAAAUAGAGUGGGAGGGAGGAAAAGGGGGGAAAGGAGUUAUUGUUCUCUCAUUGUUGUUGUAGAUAGAUCGGCUGCACGUGUGGGUCUUCAACUUCUUUAGGUUUAUCAGCCUUGAAAUUUAGUUAUAUUCAUAAAAAAUUAUGUGUUGUAUUAAAUGUUGUUUGUUUCCUAACAACAAUGGGAUCAAAGAAUUUGUUUGACUACAACAGUUGAAAUGA